GGCGAAAGCUGGGGUGGACGUGUCUUUUGAAACUGCUGCUCUUUCACUUCUCAGGCAUCACCGAGAGCUCAGCACCCAGGCUGAACUCUGUACCAUUUGGAAGAAUGGAAGCUGAUGCAUCUGUUGACAUGUUUUCCAAAGUCCUGGAGCAUCAGCUGCUUCAGACUACCAAACUGGUGGAAGAACAUUUGGAUUCUGAAAUUCAAAAACUGGAUCAGAUGGAUGAGGAUGAAUUGGAACGCCUUAAAGAAAAGAGACUCCAGGCAUUAAGGAAAGCUCAACAGCAGAAACAAGUAACCUCUCUGCCCUGCUUUCUGAAAUUGCUAUAACAGAAUGGCUUUCUAAAGGACAUGGGGAAUACAGAGAAAUCCCUAGCGAAAGAGAAUUUUUUCAAGAAGUCAAGGAGAGUGAAAAUGUGGUUUGCCAUUUCUACAGAGACUCCACAUUCAGGUGUAAAAUACUAGACAGACAUCUGGCGAUAUUGUCCAAGAAACACCUCGAGACCAAAUUUUUGAAGCUGAAUGUGGAAAAAGCACCUUUCCUUUGUGAGAGACUGCGUAUCAAAGUCAUUCCCACAUUAGCACUGCUAAAAGAUGGGAAAACACAAGAUUAUGUUGUUGGGUUUACUGACCUAGGAAAUACAGAUGACUUCACCACAGAAACUUUAGAAUGGAGGCUCGGUUCUUCUGACAUUCUUAAUUACAGGUAACUUUUAACAAAAGAAGAGAUUGAUUUUAAUUCGUAUAUAGUUGAUAUUUUCCAAAAGAUUUUUGUAUUGUAACAUUUAUUUUAUGAAAUUAAGGCAUUUCGGCUGAGAUGUAGAAAGUUUCUCAAAGGAAAAGCAUGUGUUUUGAAGUUUGUAAUAUUAGCGUGAUUUUACAGCAAAAUCAGAUUUACAGAUAAAACUGAUUUAAUAGGUAAAACUGAGUCUCAACGUACUCCUGACUAUAAAAGUUUUCAGCUUAACGUAUACUAUUGACAAUAAUUUUGUAUUAAUCUGGAAACUUAAAAUGGCAAUCCAGUGUUGACUGUUCCCUAAUUUAAGCCAGAUUACUCAAAUGGAUUCUGACUUAAGUGAUUCUCUUUGAUAAAAUAAA
rnacentral:sRNA from 1 species